GCAGGAAUGCAAGGUUUGAAGAGAGUAGAGAAAUUUUAAAAUUUCCAUCUGGAGGAUAGGAGGUAAUCUGCCUGGAGAAGCACUGUCAGAUGUCAGAGCAGUAUUGAGUAUGCACGUGAGAUUCAUCAUCAAGCUCUACAAGAUGGCCUUUGGCAGCUAACCAAGCUCACAUCCUCCCAAGUUCAAGUGCAAAAGUGAAGAUAGCAUCUCACCCACAAAGGUUCAAGAAAGACAGAAUUGUAUAACGAAAUAAAAAUGUGUAUGCAUAGGAACAGAGGCUUAAAAGUGACUGAUGUGUUUCAAAGCAGGCAAAGAUUUUGAUACAAAUAAAGUACUGAAAUGCAUGGUGGGGAAUGG
rnacentral:lncRNA from 1 species